GCUAAUAGAAGCAACUCUGUGUGUAGCAUUCGGUAUACACUCUCAUACCGAAUGCUACACACGGAGUUGCUUCUUGAUUU
rnacentral:pre_miRNA from 1 species